AGGCACGUAGCUCAGCUGGUUAGAGCACCACCUUGACAUGGUGGGGGUCGUUGGUUCGAGUCCAAUCGUGCCUACCA
rnacentral:tRNA from 55 species